GCGUGGGCCUGAUCGGCGGAGUCAGCGGAUGGUUGAUCGCGAGGAAAACGGGAGGGAUCAAAGAUCCACCGCAAUCCAAACUCGAUACCAGCAUCAAUUCCGGAAGAACAAGCCCCUUGGACACAGAGACCGUGAACGCAUCGCAAAACUACGAAAACUUCCCAAGGAAUGAACAGG